AUUGAACGCUGGCGGCAUGCUUUACACAUGCAAGUCGAACGGCAGCACGAAAGAACUUGCUCUUUUGGUGGCGAGUGGCGAACGGGUGAGUAAUGCAUCGGAACGUACCGAGUAAUGGGGGAUAACUGUCCGAAAGGAUAGCUAAUACCGCAUACGCUUUGAGAAGGAAAGUGGGGGCUCUUCGGACCUCACGUUAUUCGAGCGGCCGAUGUCUGAUUAGCUAGUUGGUGGGGUAAAGGCCUACCAAGGCGACGAUCAGUAGCGGGUCUGAGAGGAUGAUCCGCCACACUGGGACUCAGACACGGCCCAGACUCCUACGGGAGGCAGCAGUGGGGAAUUUUGGACAAUGGGCGCAAGCCUGAUCCAGCCAUGCCGCGUGUCUGAAGAAGGCCUUCGGGUUGUAAAGGACUUUUGUUAGGGAAGAAAAGGAUAGUGUUAAUACCAUGAUCUGCUGACGGUACCUAAAGAAUAAGCACCGGCUAACUACGUG
rnacentral:rRNA from 1 species